GCUUGGUUAGCUCAACUGGUUAGAGCAUGGUGCUGAUAAUGCCAAGUUCAUAGGUUUGAUCCCUGUAUGGGUGCA